UUUAUGAGGAAUUUCACUGAAAGUCAUCGCACAUUUGUCUGAGCACCGGUGCAGCUCUUUACCCCCCCAGCACACCACCGGUCGCCACAUUCUGCACCGCCUCGCAACUGUUCCACCCACUUUGUUUUCUAAUGAGACGCCGCGGGUUUUCCACACAUCCCAGUCUGUCUAUGCGGCAACACCCGUCAGCGCUCAGCAUUAAAGCUCAAGGUUCAGUGCUAAAGCUCGGUGUUCGAAGCUCAGAGCCAGCCAGCCAGCAGCGCAGGCAGGGGAGGGGAAGGAGCUCCAGUUGUUGCGCUGCAGCCCGGUCGGCGGCGCGGCGUCCAGGCAGCUCUCCGUGGGAACGUGCGGGACGCGCAGGAGCGGCUCCGCUGUCCUCCUCUCUCUGCCUCGUCCGUGCUUCUGUGGACGCCUCGCCUGGCCCUGGCGUGGGUGGCAUUUCGCUGGGCUGCUCGCGGAGACCGUUUCUCCAUGCGGAUGCAUGAUGAUGAUGAUACGCGCAUAGUUCACUCAGUGUCAUAUGAUUAUCACGCGAUUUUCAUGGAGUUCAGUUCUCCAACUUCAGCGGCGUCUCCCACUUUGCUUCCCAAGGCGAGAAGAAAAGCCUGCAGAUGAAGGUGAAAGACGUUUCGAUGUAGCCGCGCCGCAGAAAUCCGAUUUUUGGAAUCAAGCUGGUUGGUUGGAAACACGUUCAAUUGCGUCCGCCACGGAACUCCACGACUCUGAACGGACUGGGGGAGGGAGCGAUUAAUUGGGAAUAAUAAUUGAUCGUCGCGUGAACCCCGCCUCGAAUGGCUUUUUUUUUUCUUGCAGGACAGUCCGUCUGAGGGUUCAAGGAAUGCAGGAUCUGAGCAGCUUCCCCAAAACUGAACGUUGAGCACGUCCGCAGGAGAGAAGACAUGUUGAGACAGAUCUUGCUGAACUCCACCGCCGCCUCGGGCUUCGACACCAUGGCCCAGACCCACGCGCCCUCCCUCAACAUUUCGCACGGGCCCGUGAGCGUGUCCGCGUGGCUCAGACCCACGGGCAGGGGGCUGCGCGAGGGCGAGCUCGCCAGGCCGGAUCUGGCCACCUACGUCGUCAUCUUCCUCGUGCUGCUGCUGCUCGUGCUCCUCAUCGUGUUCUACAUCAACUGCCAGCUGAGGGGCUCCUUCUUCGCGUCGAUGCCCUACGACAGGUCGUUGCGGGAGACGAGGGGCUCCUACAAGUGACUCGGACCCGUGCACUCGGAGUGGACUCCCUCGCUCUCCUACCGCGGAAGGAAUGGAAUGUACAGUAUUUAUUUAUUUCCCGCCCGGUGUCCCUCCCCUGCGGCGCAGCGUCCACUCGCACUGACCAAUAUUUCCGCAUGAGGGGUCGGACACACUCUGCAGCCCCGCAGUUUCCUUCACGCUCCAUGUACUGGAUGUACCGCUCGUCUCUUGCGUUUCGCUGUAUCCUCAUGAAGGUUGCCGGGUCGAAUCCCGGUCCCGAUGGGUUCCUCCGGUCAAGGUAUACAUGACAUGCAGUCCUGUAACAGUACUCUAUGAAAUACUCCAAAUCACUGUAAAGUUGAUUAUCCAGCAUUUACUUUGGACAGAAGCGUCCAUUCAAUAAAGCGUAAUAAUAACUGUCAGUACAGGAAUAUACAGUUCAGUUAUGCCACGGCACUCGCAGUAUAUAGUGUGUAGAUAUAUAUAUUAUUCAUACAUAUAUAUGUAUAUUCAUAUGAAUA